UGAGUAUGCUGGACGGUCGCGCGGCGAAUCGCCGUGAGGAAAGUCCGAGCUCCAUAGGGCGAAGGCGCCGGAUAACAUCCGGUGGAGGCGACUCCAAGGAAAGUGCAACAGAAAUAAACCGCCGUUCAUAUUUUGGUCGGUAAGGGUGGAAAGGCGAGGUAAAAGCUCACCGCUUUUCCGGCGACGGAAAAGGCUCUGUAAACCCCGCUUGGAGCAAGACCAAACGAAAGCAUAAGGGCUUGCCCGGCCCGCUUUCGGGUAAAGUCGCAUGAACCCGCUCGGUGACGGCGGGUCAAGAUAGAUGACCGUCGAAUACAAAACUCGGCUUAUAGGCUUGCUCAACGC
rnacentral:RNase_P_RNA from 1 species